GCCGAAGUGGUGGAAUUGGUAGACACGCUAUCUUGAGGGGGUAGUGGGCAAUGCUCGUGGGGGUUCAAGUCCCCCCUUCGGCACCA
rnacentral:tRNA from 1 species